GACGAACGCUGGCGGCGUGCUUAACACAUGCAAGUGGAGCGACGAACCAGGGCUUGCCCUGGGGCAGAGCCGCGAACGGGUGAGUAACACGUGGGUAACCUGCCUCGAUGAUCGGGACAACCCGGGGAAACCCGGGCUAAUACCGAAUGUGCUCCGACCACAUCAGUGGACGGCGUAAAGGAAGCUUCGGCCUCCGCAUCGCGAUGGGCCUGCGGCCCAUUAGCUCGUUGGUGGGGUAAAGGCCCACCAAGGCUUCGAUGGGUAGCUGGUCUGAGAGGACGAUCAGCCACACUGGGACUGAGACACGGCCCAGACUCCUACGGGAGGCAGCAGUGGGGAAUCUUGCGCAAUGCGCGAAAGCGUGACGCAGCAACGCCGCGUGGGGGAAGACGGCCUUAGGGUUGUAAACCCCUUUCAGGAGGGACGAAGGUCGGCGCGUUAAUAGCGUGUCCGACUGACGGUACCUCCACAAGAAGCCCCGGCUAACUACGUGCCAGCCGCCGCCGUAA
rnacentral:rRNA from 1 species